rnacentral:rRNA from 1 species
UACGGGGGGGGCAAGCGUUGUUCGGAAUUACUGGGCGUAAAGGGCUCGUAGGUGGCCAACUAAGUCAGACGUGAAAUCCCUCGGCUUAACCGGGGAACUGCGUCUGAUACUGGAUGGCUUGAGAUUGGGAGAGGGAUGCGGAAUUCCAGGUGUAGCGGUGAAAUGCGUAGAUAUCGUCAAGAACACCUAUAGCGAAGGCAGCUUACUAGGCUGUAACUGACGCUGAGGCACGAAAGUGUGGGGAUCAAACAGG